AGUCCAUUGGAAAAUGGCGCCAUGGAGGGUGAUAGCCCCGUAAAAGUAUUCAAACCUUCUUUUCUUCCCCUCCUAAGAGUCGAGUUGUUUGGGAAUGCAGCUCUAAGUGGGUGGUAAAUUCCAUCUAAAGCUAAAUAUUGGCGAGAGACCGAUAGCGAACAAGUACAGUGAUGGAAAGAUGAAAAGCACUUUGAAAAGAGAGUGAAAAAGUACGUGAAAUUGUUGAAAGGGAAGGGCUUGCAAGCAGACACAACCUCGGUUGGGCCAGCAUCGGAGUGGGGGGAGACAAAAAAGGUUAGGAAUGUAGCU
rnacentral:rRNA from 1 species